AUGUCCUACGGGGCGCAGCAGUGGGGAAUAUUGCACAAUGGGCGAAAGCCUGAUGCAGCAACGCCGCGUGAAGGAAGAAGGGUUUCGGCUCGUAAACUUCUAUUAACAGGGACGAAAGAAAUGACGGUACCUGAAUAAGAAGCCCCGGCUAACUACGUGCCAGCAGCCGCGGGAAUACGUAGGGGGCAAGCGUUAUCCGGAAUUACUGGGUGUAAAGGGUGAGUAGGCGGCAUGGUAAGCCAGAUGUGAAAGCCUUGGGCUUAACCCGAGGAUUGCAUUUGGAACUAUCAAGCUAGCGUACAAGG
rnacentral:rRNA from 1 species